rnacentral:rRNA from 1 species
CCUACGGGGGGCAGCAGUGGGGAAUAUUGCACAAUGGGGGGAACCCUGAUGCAGCGACGCCGCGUGAGUGAAGAAGUAAUUCGUUAUGUAAAGCUCUAUCAGCAGGGGAGAAAAUGACGGUACCUGAGUAAGAAGCCCCGGCUAACUACGGGCCAGCAGCCGCGGUAAUACGUAGGGGGCAAGCGUUAUCCGGAUUUACUGGGUGUAAAGGGAGAGUAGACGGCAGUGCAAGUCUGGAGUGAAAGUCGGGGGCUCAACCCCCGGAGUGCUAUGGAAACUGUACGGCGGGAGGGAAGGAGAGGUAAGGGGAAUGCCGAGUGUAGCGGUGAAAUGCGUAGAUAUUAGGAGGAACACCAGUGGCGAAGGCG